UACGAGGGGGGGCGAGCGUUUGUUCGGAAUUAUUGGGCGUAAAGGGUGCGUAGGCGGUUUGGUAAGUCUGAUGUGAAAUCUAUGGGCUCAACUCAUAGUCUGCAUCGGAAACUGCCGGGCUUGAGUAUGGGAGAGGUGAGUGGAAUUCCUGGUGUAGCGGUGAAAUGCGUAGAUAUCAGGAGGAACACCUGUGGCGAAAGCGGCUCACUGGACCAUAACUGACGCUGAUGCACGAAAGCUAGGGGAGCAAGCAGG
rnacentral:rRNA from 1 species